GGACGGGUGAGUAAUGCCUAGGAAUCUGCCUGGUAGUGGGGGAUAACGUCCGGAAACGGGCGCUAAUACCGCAUACGUCCUGAGGGAGAAAGUGGGGGAUCUUCGGACCUCACGCUAUCAGAUGAGCCUAGGUCGGAUUAGCUAGUUGGUGGGGUAAAGGCCUACCAAGGCGACGAUCCGUAACUGGUCUGAGAGGAUGAUCAGUCACACUGGAACUGAGACACGGUCCAGACUCCUACGGGAGGCAGCAGUGGGGAAUAUUGGACAAUGGGCGAAAGCCUGAUCCAGCCAUGCCGCGUGUGUGAAGAAGGUCUUCGGAUUGUAAAGCACUUUAAGUUGGGAGGAAGGGCAGUAAGUUAAUACCUUGCUGUUUUGACGUUACCAACAGAAUAAGCACCGGCUAACUUCGUGCCAGCAGCCGCGGUAAUACGAAGGGUGCAAGCGUUAAUCGGAAUUACUGGGCGUAAAGCGCGCGUAGGUGGUUCAGCAAGUUGGAUGUGAAAUCCCCGGGCUCAACCUGGGAACUGCAUCCAAAACUACUGAGCUAGAGUACGGUAGAGGGUGGUGGAAUUUCCUGUGUAGCGGUGAAAUGCGUAGAUAUAGG
rnacentral:rRNA from 1 species